rnacentral:lncRNA from 1 species
UAUAAAAUUUUUAAAAUAAUUAUUUAUAUAUUUCUCGCAUGUUUUUCUAUUAUUCCAAAUUUUUUAUUUAUUAUUCGCUUAAGUUAUUUCAGAUUAAACGUGAAUUAAAUAUCUGUGAGGAUUUAAAAAAUUAAAAUAUUUUUUUUUUGCGUGUAACUUAAGGAUAAAUAAGAAAAGUUGGUCAUGGCAGAAUGGUAUCUUUAGAAGGACAAAAUAGUAAUUUUACGGAGAUAACAGCUAUUGCUAAUAGUUAAUUUAACUUCAGAAGUAUAUUUAAAAUAAUUCGGAACGUAAAAAAGAUAUUUUUAAUAUUAUUUUUCUACGAGGAAUAAAUUAAAAAGUUAAAAACUUUUCAGAUGUAUAUAAGCAAUUACUUCUAAAUUUUUUAUAUUUAUUCUCAUAUUUUCUGGUAUGAUAUUAUUUAAAUAUUAUAUAUUUUUUCGUUUUAGAUUUCGAUGUAAAAUCUACCUCGCACUUCUGAAUGCUAAACCGCCUCUGAUAUCAAAUUAUAAUCAUCCAGUACUAAAACUAAUAACUUGUUGAGUUCAAAUCACCAAUGAAUAAUAUUCAAGGCCAAUUAUUGAUUCUGAUUGAUUGCGUAUCUAUUUCAAAUUAUGUUAUUUAGAAAAGAUAAGUUUGGCUGACAAGUUGUGUUGGGACAGAUAAGUUAAAUUGGUUGGCAGAUUGGCAUAAAUUUGUAUUUCUAUAAUCAUCCUCUCGGAUGGGAGGUGAUGUGACUUUUGCUAAAUAAUUAUUAUGGUAAUAAUAAAGUUGGCAUUAUAUAAUUAUGAAAAAACUUCAAAAAAAUUCCCUAUAUGCUUUCGUAGUUUCUCACUUUGCUCUCCCGUGGUUUAAAAUGUCUCAAUAUGCCCCCUUGUGGUUUCUUUUUUCUCUUUUUCAUAUCAAUUUCAUUAUUUUUUUUUUUCUUAAAUCAGUGAUAAAGUUAAAAUUAAAGAGUACUAAAGUAAAUAUUUGAUAAAUUUAGAUGGGUAUCUGAAGUUUUUUGUAUAUAAUUUAGUGAAAUAUUAACGAAAAAGCUAUCGAAAAGAUAAAAACAAAACAACAGGGGGGCAAUUUGAUACAUGUUAAACCACAGGGGAUGAAGUGAGAAACUAUGAAAUUAUAGGGAGGGUUUUUGAAGUUUUCCCUAUAAUUAUUGCACACUUUUGAUCAUUUAGUAUAUUAUUAU